rnacentral:rRNA from 1 species
GAUGAACGCUAGCUACAGGCUUAACACAUGCAAGUCGAGAGGAAACGAUAGGGAAAGCUUGCUUUUUCUAGGCGUCGACCGGCGCACGGGUGAGUAACGUGUAUCCAACCUGCCCAUCACCUGGGGAUAACCUUGCGAAAGUAAGACUAAUACCCAAUGACGUCUCUAGAAGACAUCUGAAGGAGAUUAAAGAUUUAUCGGUGAUGGAUGGGGAUGCGUCUGAUUAGCUUGUUGGCGGGGUAACGGCCCACCAAGGCGACGAUCAGUAGGGGUUCUGAGAGGAAGGUCCCCCACAUUGGAACUGAGACACGGUCCAAACUCCUACGGGAGGCAGCAGUGAGGAAUAUUGGUCAAUGGACGAGAGUCUGAACCAGCCAAGUAGCGUGCAGGAAGACGGCCCUAUGGGUUGUAAACUGCUUUUAUAAGGGAAUAAAGUGAGUCUCGUGAGACUUUUUGCAUGUACCUUAUGAAUAAGGACCGGCUAAUUCCGUGCCAGCCGCCGCGGUAA